CAGCUCCAUGACAUUCGAUGCAGGUCAGAGACAGACACAGCUCCAUGACAUAAGAUGCAGGUCACAGACAGAGACACAGCUCCAUGACAUUCGAUGCAGGUCAGACAGACACAGCUCCAUGACAUAAGAGCAUGUCACAGACAGACACAGCUCCAUGACAUAAGAUGCAUGUCAACAAACGACACAGCUCCAUGACAUAAGAUGGAGGUCACAGACAGACACAGCUCCAUGACAUAAGAUGCAUGUCACAGACAGACACAGCUCCAUGACAUAAGAUGCAGGUCAGACAAGACACAGCCAUGACAAUAAGAUGCAUGUCACAGACAGACACAGCUCCAUGACAUAAGAUGGAGGUCACAGACAGACACAGCUCCAUGACAUAAGAUGCAUGUCACAGACAGACACAGCUCCAUGACAUAAGAUGCAGGUCACAGACAGAGA